AGAGUUUGAUCCUGGCUCAGGAUGAACGCUAGCGAUAGGCUUAACACAUGCAAGUCGAGGGGCAGCAUGAACUUAGCUUGCUAAGUUUGAUGGCGACCGGCGCACGGGUGCGUAACGCGUAUGCAACUUGCCUUACAGAGGGGGAUAACCCGUUGAAAGACGGACUAAUACCGCAUACACUUGCUUGGUUGCAUGAUCGGGCAAGGAAUAUUUAUAGCUGUAAGAUAGGCAUGCGUCCCCAUUAGCUGGUUGGUGAGGUAACGGCUCACCAAGGCAACG
rnacentral:rRNA from 1 species